ACUCCUACGGGAGGCAGCAGUGAGGAAUAUUGGUCAAUGGAGGGAACUCUGAACCAGCCAUCCCGCGUGUAGGAAGACGGCCUUAUGGGUUGUAAACUACUUUUAUACAGGAAGAAACGUACCCUCGUGAGGGUGCCUGACGGUACUGUAGGAAUAAGCACCGGCUAACUCCGUGCCAGCAGCCGCGGUAAUACGGAGGGUGCAAGCGUUACUCGGAAUCACUGGGCGUAAAGAGCGUGUAGGCGGAUAGAUAAGUCAGGAGUGAAAUCCUAUGGCUCAACCAUAGAACUGCUCUUGAAACUGUCAAUCUAGAAUGUGGGAGAGGUAGAUGGAAUUUCUGGUGUAGGGGUAAAAUCCGUAGAGAUCAGAAGGAAUACCGAUUGCGAAGGCGAUCUACUGGAACAUAAUUGACGCUGAGACGCGAAAGCGUGGGAGCAAACAGGAUUAGAUACCCUGGUAGACUGUCAU
rnacentral:rRNA from 1 species